UGCGCGCGAAGCUCAAUUGAGACAAAAUGGCGGCUUUUUACGAAUAGUUUUUGCGAGAUGCAUUUCAUAAUUUGAAAACCUGCCGUUUGUUAACAGUAAGGAAACAAGUGAUAACCUGGAGGUUUGAGAAAAGAUUAUAGAGUGUAGGACUUGAGCAAAAUUGGUCUGAUGCUGAUGUCCCCUUAUCAUUAUUACCAACGGAUGAAUACAGGAGACCAGACCAGUCUUAUCCACCUGUUGUUCACUACUACCAGAAGGUGCACUAGUGGACCAGAGGGAACAUCAUCACUGAUUCAUUGGAAGUGUAACUGACAAGUGAAAUCAGGACGACAAGAAAGAGAUCAAUUAUCCUCAAGAAAGUCACCAUUCACCAACCCACCUGCAGCUGUUGGAUGUAUCCAUCCAGGCACCAAAUCUCCACAACUGUCCAUCAACUGUCCGGUAUCAUGCCAGUCACAGGAACCAAAGACACAGGAUUCUGUGACUCAGCAACACUCAUGCAAAUCAGCAGAGGUUAGCUCCCCACCAGCCCAUCCAUAUACUUUGAGGACGCUCUUAUCUCUACAUGUAUGGUCAAGAGAAAUCCUACUUCUUCACACGCUGCCGGACAUCACUGCAGCAGGCUGCUCACUGAACAGCAAACUAUUCAACAGUUGAUCUGAUGAGCUACAUGGACACAGUCUGCGACGAACAGGAGAUAUGUCUCGUUUGGAUGUCGUGGGGUACCAUUGAUCAAUACCACACACAUGUUCCCUUCUACUGUACAUCCCUAUUGCCUAUAUGGAAUUCAGCAGCUACACCGCAAGACCUGAACUCACUCGAAUUGACUUCCUCCAAAACUCAGUUGCCUUUAGACUCUCAAUCUCACAGUGCCAUGAGUUGCUGCUUCUCAUUUUUGGCCGAACAAGUGGAAGGUCUGCAGGAACUGCUUGAAGAGCUGUGUUUUUCUCCAACUGGACAAAGAGUGACUCCAAGGAUGCCCAACUCUUGAGCUGCAUGCUUUCGCCAGUCACACCAAGGGCUUCAAAGACUGUUGAGAAAUGAUAUGGGAAUGAUACAUGUCAUACACCAGAGGUCUUUUUUUACCAGUCUCUGCCAGUCUCUGCCAGACUCAAUUGAUUGAUUGCGAUCUGACAGAAACUUUUAAAGACCGCUUUGGAAAUGAAAGCCUCUUUUGAAAUGGAACUCUCGUGAAAUGGAACUCUCUUGAGCUUAAACUAUAUUGGCAUGGAACUUUUUUGAAAUGGAACUCUUUUAACACGAAACUCUGUUGAAAUGGAAUUUUAUUGAAUCAGAACUCUUUUGAGAUGGAACUCUUUUGACACGGAACUCUUCUGCCAUUGAACUCUUUUGCAAUGGAACUCUUUUGGAAUGGAAGUCUUGACACAGAAAUCUUUUGAAAUGGAACUUUUUGAAACGGAACUCUUUUGAAGUGGAACUCUUUGGAAACAAGACUCUUUUGACACGGAACUCUUCUGCCAUUGAACUCUUUUGCAAUGGAACUCUUUUGGAAUGGAAGUCUUGACACAGAACUCUUUUGAAACGGAACUCUUUUGAAACGGAACUCUUUUGAAACGGAACUCUUUUGAAACGGAAGUUAUUAUAUUUAAGAAGUAGAGGUCUCUCUUUCCUUUAGUUCACUAGAGGUCUUCAUAAAUCACCUUUGUGGCCUUUAUGCAAAAUGGGUUGCCUCGGGUAACCACAGUUUGAAAGAUGUCAAAAAUAUUGAAAAGCUGAUGCAAAAUUUGUCGUUCACAACAUUUGAUGAUGAAUUAGCACAAAAGUCAUCAUGUAAAAAAAAAAAUUGGACAUGAUACUCUAAAAUAUUGUCUGCAAAGAAAAUUGUUGCACAAAAGCCUUCAAACCAUAAUAUUCUUUUGGUGAAUCUAUGAUUGAUGGCACUCAUAGCUGAGAUCAAAUCAAACCACAGUUCAUGAAGAUGGAGGAGAGGCCUCUACAAGUGACACGUAACCAGCCUCUCACAGCAGUCAGUUGUUCAGGCACGGUUCAUAAAAGUGAUUAGGCACUAGUUUCAUUGACCAAAUUCAGUUCUAUUCAUUAGCUUGAAACGGUCACUUACUGCAAAAAAAAAGGACAGUAAAGCGCUGCAUUUCAAUUUCGUAAAGUUGCAUUCUUUUUCUGUGCUUUCUUGAAAGAAUCAAACAAUUUCUUGGACAAGAUUCGCUAAAACUAAGGACUGCUCAAAAUGCAGAAAAUCUUGUCGUAGACGAAUGUUUAUGGUACAAUGUUUAUAACAGAGAGAGCUGGUUACGUUCGAUUAAUUGAUAUUUUAAUCUGAAACAUUUCUUUAUGGCAUUGCCUGAUUGGUAAUAGCUGGGUGCAAGAUUGGUUUCUCUUUAACAACAUUCUUUCAAAACAAACUAUGUUUACACACAAUUUGAAACUUUUGAUAUUUACUGUAUUGAACCCAAAAUCUCUCAUUUAGACUAAAAUUUGGUUCAAAUUCAAAUCAAAAAAUGUUUUAGAUUCUCAAUAGUCCAAAUUUCCUUGCAGUAAAACUAUGAGCUGGAAAUACUCUAUCAAAAAUCCAAUGUUGCCAACACAUAUACAAAAUUAACUUUUUUGUUUCUGUAUCUUCAAAUUUGUCUUCAGAAAUGAGUUUUCGAAAUCCUUGAUGCGUUUUCCAGUACAUCAUAACUUAGCUACCUACUAUCAGCAGCCAUGCCAAUCUUGUACCCAGCUUUUGUUUAUCAAGUAUAGUCAGCACUGGUACAAUGUAGAAAGACAAAGUUUGGCUGCGAAUGAAAAAUAUUGGCGUUAAUCACACAUUUUCCAAAAAGUUGCAAACUGCGUAUUUUCAAUUUCAAAGCACAAACACUCAGAAAAUCACAAAAAUAACUGUUAUUUGAAAGUUUCCUCUUCACGAAGCUGUUUUUGCACCAAGUGCGUAUGCUGACUACCUCAAGAAAGCAGUUUUUACUUGUUCAUUUGUCAAGCAAUACAAAAACAAAUGCUAACCACUGUUCAUUACUUACUGAGUGCCAAUGAUCAAAACUUUAUCCUCGCUCUAAAAAACGAACAGAAAAAAAUGAUGCUUCCAGUGCUGGCUGUACAUACAUGUACAUUGCAUAGUCUUUUAUGAUAAUUUGUUGAGUAACCAACCAAUAUACUUGACGUUUAACCAACAGGCAAUGUUCUGAUACACUUGAGCCCAACGCAUGCAAGUCCCCCCGGGGCGUGCACGUGUGGUGUUCCCCGCCCGCAGAUGCCGGCUUGUCUGGUGGGUCGUCCCUAUCUGCAUUGACGAGUGGUUGGUUGUUCAAGGUGUGUGCUAGCUUCCUGAACUUGUGGUCUGGAUAAUCGUGGAUGACUUGGUCGACUUCAACAUGGUAAGGAUCCUUUUGAACUUUGACAAUUAGUUUGCCUUUCUGCAAAGGAGAUGUCUUUUUGGCUGUUUCUUUACCGAGUGUUGCUGUGGAAAUUAUGUACCAUCUAUCAAUCUGGAGAUUGCAAAUCUAGAGAUCAAUCGAGCAUCUACUCUUGAUGUCCCGCUUGCAUUUCAAUAGUUCCAUGGCAUCAUGUUGAUCCAAAUGAUCUGCUAACAAAUGGGUACUGUUGUUGGUAAAUCUGAUGUUCUUCAAUGCGGUUUGAUUUUCGGACAGGUGUUUCAGCCGCUAUUUAUGUGAAUAACUUCCAUGGUAUAACUCUGAAAUCUCAAUGCCUUUUAUUGUGUCAUCAUGUACAAUCAGUUAUCUCAUAGAGUGUGUUCAAAUCUUAGACAUGCACGGAUAAAAAUAAGGAAAUAUCAAAAGGAAAUUGUUAUAAUUAACUGAAUCAAACGUCAAAUCUGCUCUAAAUUCAGCAUCUGAUGUAUCACUUUAAAAAAUGAGUUUGCAAAUAAUAUUUGUGUUUUUGGCAGCAUACGAAUCUUAACUUGAUAAACAUAAGCAAGUGAUAUACAAAAUUCCCAAAUUUAAAAAAAGGCAGCUUCUCUGCCUGAAAUAUUCAAAAUGCGAAAUUUUGGCGUCGUAAAAAAAAAGAGAAAAAAACGAAGAAAAAAAUCAUCCUCACUUCAAGGCAACUUUAAAAGAGACUUUUAAAAAUUCAAUGCUCCUUUAAAAACACAAAGGAAACAAAUUCUCAUUAAAUUAAAAAAGCAAAGAAUGGGCUAUUGCCAUCAUAUUUAUCAUCAAAACUGCAGUACGAAAGAAAAAAACGGAGAGAAAAUUUUAAGAAACUUUGAAAAAAAGGAGAGAAGGCCAAACUCUUCAAAUUGUAGGGGAUAAGUCCUGGUGUGCAGAGGGGGAGAACCAUGCUGCUUCCUGGCCAGAUGGAAGAUGUGGUGGACAAAAAAAGCCCCCUGCAUCCUAACAAAUAGAAGCUGUGGUGUCAGACACAGGGAGCCAGUCCUGCCAGAUGGAUCCAUGGUAAGUUUAAUUGAAGUUUGUAGAAUGAAUUCAUGCACUGUGUACAUCCUCAUUGCUUGCUAAACCCAACAGUAACAUGUGUAUCUCAUGGCUAGGAGUAAACGCUAUCUGUCUGCAUUACAGGAAAACAGUAUUGUGCAUUAUAGUCUUCAGUCUGUGGCAAUACCAAUUAGCCUCAAUCUGGCACUUGAAAAAAUAAAGUAAGAGAAACGAAAUGUCAGCUUUUUGUCAUCUGUAGUCAAAGUUGGACGAAGGCUUUGACAUGACAAUUCUAGGAACUGAUCAGUCUUCAUAAACCUUUGAUAUUGCCGAAGAGAUGUCAAUACUCUUCUUAUGAGUGCCCAUUGAGUCCUACAAUCAUACAGAGAUGCAACCAGUGUAUUGGUGCGCAAACAUCUCAACCAAUCUCAGUAAACUUUCUGGACUCGACACUCACUGUAAGCACUCAAAGUGCUGCUAAUCAACUCGUGGUCAAAUGUUGUGACCUCUGCACUCCAAUCCUAUGAUUGGAUAAAACCUUGGGCUUGAGCAAUCACUGCAGCCCCCCAUACAUUCAUCACCCACCUGAUAGGUGGUUGCAUGGGGAAAUCCCCUGCCAAGUCUGUUUAAGCGGACCUUUUUGUGAUCACGACUUUGUGAUCUGAGCUGCUCACUUGUCUGCAGUGAUCGAGAGCCAUAUCAAAGUGUGCUCUUGAGCAAUUGGAAAUUAACGUGCACUUUCAAAAGAAGCCUUGGAAAUCUAGGCUUGCAAUAAAAGCAGUUCUAUCUUUGUUAUUGACACAGAUUAAGCUGAAAAGCCUUGAAGCAAAAGCUCUUCUCAGAUGCACGACUCCUUUCAGCGCAAAACUGAAAUUGUUUUAUUCUCAUUCCCUGUCAGUAUGCAUUUUUUUAAGUGAGAAAUGAGACGUUAAAACAAAGGUCGUGCCAUUGUGUCCACCUGUUAGUAUUCGUUAUUCAAUUGAUUUUAACAACUAAGAAGAAGACAUUUAACUUUGAAUGUCUUUGAGAGUCCUGGAAGAUCUUCACCUUAGCUUUGACUUUAAAUCAAAACUUUGAAAUACUCAGUUGUAUCUUGUCUUAUUGGCCAGUUUGCACCUUUGCACGCUACCUCAGAAAAGAAAAUUCAGUAUUGUACACUUCCAUUCAGAAGAAAGUUAUCAUAUGCUGUGAGUGUAUCGGUACUAGAACAUGUACUUGAAAAACUUUCCCUGUAAGUCGUUUGUGUUCAACAUCUCAUCAGAGAGCAGUAAUUGAAUACAAGUCUGAUAUCUGACAAUUGUAAAUCUUCCUGCAAAGAGGUCAAACAUUGAGUAGAUUUUACAGAUGUACCAUAAAGUUUGUCUGCUCCGAGUUAGACCAAAUUGGUUCCACUCGCCAAGAAACAAACACUCAAAAUUGUGAAUCUUUGAAAAGGUUGCUGAAACCAAUCUGACAUUGAAAUUAAUUUAUCAUGUCUCACUAGCAGGGGACUUAAAUUUAUUCCUCACUAUCUCAUGACUUUGCCAAACAAAAAGUGCAAAGUGAUAUCGCAUUUUGCAUCAAACUGACACACUUGAAUCUAAUUUUAACUUGACCAAAACUGAAAUUCUAGAAAUAUGGUCUUUGGGGCAUAACGGUAGUGUGUCAUUUGUCAAAUAAGGUGAAGAUCUUUCAGGACACAUGUUGGUAUUGCCACAGACUGAAGACUAGCUAUGCUCCAUGCUUUAACCCUUUAGUGACCCAUACCUCUCUCGGUGUACAACGCUACUUCUCCAAGUGCAUUUUCCAGACUGAAGAAGACUAGGCUGGUAUUGUGAAUUGGGACUUAUUUGAAUGCUAAACCAACU